GCCAAAGAGCAGCCUCAUGGGAAGUGUAGUUCUCGACCUUCGGCUUACAUCUCACUUUUCAGCACCAACCCCUGGGAUGCCAGAGGAUAUGGAAAAAAGGAACUAAGAGCAAACGAAGCUUCUGUACUAACUAGGAGCCUAGAAGCAUCUCUACAUGCCUAGGCCUCACGGCACUGGGCCCCACAGAAAUCAGCCAAGGGCAGAGGCGAGUGCAGGUUCUACAGCAGCAGGGAGACAGCACAUGGGGGAACUGGCACCCCCGGGACGCUUGAAAGCCUUUACUGUAAAAGCACAGGUACUAAUGCUGUGUCAACAACUCGCCAUGGACAAGUGUCACCAUGCCAGCUUCUGGUCUCAGUACUGAGGAAAAGGACAGGUUUUCCUUCAUGUCUCUUUUGGGGUAUGACUUUUGCCAUUCGAUCACCAUCCUAGCUGGAAGCUUGACUAAUUCUUUGAAGAGAAUGCAUGUAAUGUUUAUAGUGUCUAACACUGUAGAGUGGACGGUCCUUGUAGAAGUCUCAGGUGCGAGCCAGCAUCACAGGCAGACAUGCAAAGAAAUGAGCCUGCUAGUGAUUCCAGUCCUCACCGUUGUGUCACAGCUGUCCCUCAGACUAAGCUAGCUGAAGCCACAGAAAAAAGAGACUAAAAUCGUUUUGCAUAUC